rnacentral:pre_miRNA from 1 species
UGUCCAACAUUUGACCGUCCGUCUUAUUUGAAAAAAUUAUGAAAAAAAUUAAAAAGACAAGUCACGCAUAAAGUAUUAAUCAUAUUUUAUCAUCUAACAACAAUGAAAAUACUAAUUAUAAAAAAAUUUCAUAUAAGACGGACAAUCAAACGUUGGACAUGGAAACCUAGAGUUUGUCUUUUU